UGCUGCCGUGAGCACACAUACACAUGUUCACUUUUGUCAUACUCUGCAUAUUGCAAACAAGUUCUCUGAAGUCUUUCUCUACUCUCAGGCGGACCACUCUCUGUUCAUUAGGCUUGGUUUCCUAUACCUUCACAGAACUAUCUUGGCUAGGUCACUGGGGCCGGACUUCAGUUAUUGAGAGCAAACGGUGGCCCAUGAAUCCUUCUUAACACUGCUGGUGACCUUGUAAGUGGGAAAGUGAGUAUAGUUGCUGUGACAGAGGUGCUGCGCUAGUCUGACGGUAGAAGGAGAUACCUCCGCAUCGGCAUGCUACACUCUGGGAGAGAGGGAUAACAAGGGCUGAAAUUAAACUCCCUUGGAUAUAUUUCGGCCCACACUCUUGGGUCCCCGGGUCUGCGGAGGCUAUGUAAGAGACAGAUGGGACAUGAAAUGCCUCUGUACAAGAGGGUACUACCCAAUGUUGGAGUGAUAUUGGAACAAUCUGAGCUGCGUUGACUGCGUUUUAUGAACUGUAGUGGGAACACGUCUGUUACAUCAGCAUCCAAACAAUCCCCCGAACGUUUGAGAACCUUCUAGAAGCCACCAGUAGGGGCAGCCCUGUCCCUGCCUAGCUUGCAACUCAUUGGGACUUUGUCAAUGAAGGUAUUAAGAGACUCCUGCAGGCGAGGGGAAGACAUGAAAGAAAAGCUGCAGAGCCAGAGAAGUUGGCUCAAAUAUGGAGCUGGAGAGGAGGAAGCGGCAGCAACUGAGGGCAGUAGGAGGGCAGCUCUUUCUGCUCUCACGUGGCAGAGCCCCAGCAAGAUGGGACCCCAGGAUGGAGAGAGAAGACCUCUGAAAGAAGGGUGGAGAAGCCUCAGAGACAGCAACCACCGGAGCCCAUAGCUCCCAAACCGCCACCGGGAGGCCGCCACACAUACAACGCUGCCUCCCCCUCACAGCUGUUUGUUUUCCAUUGAUUUUCUCCCUCACCUCUUCCCCUUCCACUUCUCUUUUGUUGACUAAAACACCCACUAGGGCCGUAGAACACACGCUCUGUGUAUAUUCCCUGUGGCCUAACCCUUUACAGAACAAUUAGGUAGAAAUAUACUUUUGUAAUACAAAUAUGCCUUACUAAGUAGAAAGGGAAUCACAUUUGUUCUGUUUUUUUAAUUUCUAGCUGCAACAUUUGAGAACGUUGUUGU